UUUGUGGAGGGUUCGAUUCUGGCUCAGGAUGAACGCUGGCGGCGUGCCUAACACAUGCAAGUCGAACGGGAUCCCGGGUGCUUGCACCUGGGUGAGAGUGGCGAACGGGUGAGUAAUGCGUGACCAACCUGCCCCAAGUUCCGGAAUAGCUCCUGGAAACGGGUGGUAAUGCCGGAUGCUCCGCUCCUCCGCAUGGGGGUGUGGGAAAGCUUUGGCGUCUUGGGAUGGGGUCGCGUCCUAUCAGCUUGACGGCGGGGUGACGGCCCACCGUGGCUUCGACGGGUAGCCGGCCUGAGAGGGCGACCGGCCACAUUGGGACUGAGAUACGGCCCAGACUCCUACGGGAGGCAGCAGUGGGGAAUAUUGCACAAUGGGCGCAAGCCUGAUGCAGCGACGCCGCGUGCGGGAUGGAGGCCUUCGGGUUGUAAACCGCUUUUGUUCGGGAGCAAGGGAGCCUUUCGGGGUUCUUGAGUGUACCGUUCGAAUAAGCGCCGGCUAACUACGUGCCAGCAGCCGCGGUAAUACGUAGGGCGCAAGCGUUAUCCGGAUUCAUUGGGCGUAAAGGGCUCGUAGGCGGUUCGUCGCGUCCGGUGU
rnacentral:rRNA from 1 species